ACUUAGCCCCGAUAGAAGCGGCAUCCUUUUAUGGCGUUGUUCGCCAUAAAAGAUACAGCGGAGAGCGGGAAACAGC
rnacentral:sRNA from 22 species